rnacentral:rRNA from 1 species
GACAGAGGGUGCAAGCGUUGUUCGGAAUUACUGGGCGUAAAGGGCGCGUAGGCGGUCCGCUAAGUUCGGCGUGAAAUCCCCUGGCUCAACUGGGGAACGGCGCUGGAUACUGGUGGACUCGAGUACCGGAGAGGAGAGUGGAAUUCCUGGUGUAGCGGUGAAAUGCGUAGAUAUCAGGAGGAACACCGGUGGCGAAGGCGGCUCUCUGGACGGAUACUGACGCUGAGGCGCGAAAGCGUGGGGAGCGAACAGG